CGUAGUUAGACUCCAGUGCAAGUUAUUUCCUUCAGAACUAAUGUUACAACUCUUUUAUAAAUUACCAGAAAUUCUUGGGCAUAAAACCUUGUGGGCAUCAACUGAGAAAUGCAGUCAGCUUGUGCACAGGGAUAUUUCUGCCAUCUGGAAAGUCCUCUUGUGAAAUCCCCUGAGGACUCCAGGAUAAGCACAGGUAGGCUUCUGAGUGGGCUACAGUCAAUUGUUUUAUAAAGGAUGAAAGAGAAAGGUUUAAGUGAGCUUGGAGGUUACAUGCCAAAUUGAUUUAAGAAGUGUGGAGAAGCCCUUCUUUGCCCUACUUAUUUGGCUUCAAAAUUAUUGUAAUAGUUUCUUUCUACACAAUGUAUGAGUUGUCAAAAAUGGGAGAAGUUGCUUAUUGUAUUUCCUGUCAUUGCACCCAACAACUAUUCCCUCUAUCAGAUCAAAACUAUUUGUGCCUCCAUGGUGUGUGUCUACUCUGCAGGGCUGCAAAUUUCCUAAGAGCCAUCACAUAGGCAGAAAUUAGAGAGUCCUCUCUUGAAGAAGCUCUGUCCUCUAUUCUUUUGCCUGUUUUUCUACACGUGAAAAUGACAUUUAUCUUCUGUGUGUUUGAGGUUCAUUCUGAGGAGGUUUGUGACUUCAGUUCUUCGAGUCAGGCAAUGCAAAGCUUGGAUGCUGUUAUUCAUCAGUUUUGUCCUGCUGCCAUCGUUGUGUUUGCUGUGCACCAAACAUAGUUGGUGAUUCAUAUGCAACAGUGGAGUGUGCCUAAAGACAAAAGUUUUAAGUUCUGACACAAUCACUUGCCUCCACUUCCUUGAGAGCUUGUAUAGUCCCACCAAAACAAGCAGCUAUGCAAGAUUACUUUCCAGUUUCAAUCUGUGAUGUGUGGAGGAAAUAAAUUCCUGAUGUGUUCCUGGUUCAAAUCACUGGCCUCCAAGAAUCCUGUAGUUGGAAAUGCUGAAGACAAAAAUCUCUAAUGGGUCAUUUUGGACAGCCUCCUGCCGGGACAUGAUUAAUCCCUCCAGAGCUAUGUUAGUGCUUGAUGAACAGCAAAGCUAUCUACAGGAUGAUGACCCAGACGUAGCCUAGGCAGGGAAUUUUUUCCUGUGCAUCCAUCUCCUUGCUGCUGAUGAGGAUCCCAUGGAACACAGCUGUUUUCAUUACUGAGGCUCGUGAGGUACUGCUGGGUGGAGGUGCAUGGAUUUUUGUUUCUUUCUCUUCAACAUCUAGCAAAAGGAGAAGUGGGUGUUCUGAGUGCGAGUUUUGGUGAUGGCCCAAAAGCGCAAAUGUUGAUGAGAAAGCAGAGCCACAUCACUGUGAGCUUGGCAGGCCGGGAGCACCAGCCCUGAUUUGGAAGGCUGCUGCCAUCCAGAGUGGUCUGGGACAGAGGGACAUCAAUGAGCCAAGAGGGAUGCCAAAAACUGGUGAGAAGGAUUUGUAAGAAACUACCUCCUUGAGAAGUCAUGUUUCUGCUGAAACCAAAUUACAUGGCAAAAAUUCACCCUGAUUUCACCUAAAUUUUCUUUUCAGAAAGAAAGAAAGAUAGGAAAAAAGUCAAAAUAAUCCAUUUUGACAUUGUUGGGUGUUCAUUUUUCACUUGAAAUUAUUAUUUGCUUUUGUAUUUUAUUUUCUCUAAUACAAUGGAUUAUUUAUUACCUCAUAAAUGUAAACAUUAACUUCAAGAUGGGAUAGUAUGAAUGACCUUGAGUGUUUUUCAAAUAGUUCCUUGUGAGAAAUUUUGAAAUAUCUGUAUUUUAGACCUGGCACAGAAUGAAACUCUUGUCACCAAAGCUCCUUCUGCAUAGCCUCAGGAUAAGUUUCGGAAGCUGAUUUGGGAAGUAAGGAUUGAAUUUGGAUAUGUCUCUCUGGCUAGCUCAGAAACACUUGUGUUUCUGAACAUGGUUUGUUACAUAUUCUGUGAUUUCUAAGAAGUCUUGAUCUGUGGUCCAUUAAAGUAACCAGAAACCUUUUCCCUGGCUGGAGCUUGGACCAUAGAUGCAAAACUUUUGAACACUUCAGUAGCAUCACUAUCAAUACUUGUCUGUUUCUUUAGUAGGGUGAUAGGUGAUAGGCAUUUGUAGGUAGGCAUUACUGGAAGAUGACUUAAGAUGACUACUCUUCUGAUCUUAACAUUAAUGACAAAUAAAAUCCAGACUUCCUAGUCUCCCUGAGCCAUUAAAACAGUAUGCAGUUGUGGCUGAAGUACUCUCCUUCUCCUUUUUUUUUUUUUUUUUUUUCCAGUGAUUUAGUGAAGAUGCAUUUUGCAUUAGGACUUUCUUUCACACCUGUAUAAAUUAUGCUGUUGGGUAGCCAAUGUUUUUAAAACAGCAUAGCUGUCAAUUGCUUAUGUAAUGGCACAUUUUGUAGUGCUAUCAGAUGACAUAUAACUUGUUAAAUUACAUUGACAAAAUAUUGGAGAGAAUUACACUAUAAUUAAAUGACAAUAAUAAUGAGACCAAUAUUAGCUGCUGCCAUCAAUUAUGUAAGAAUUAUAUAAUUUUUAUAAAAACCUUGCCUAGUGGUUGAAAACAUAUUUCAUUAAAAAUUCUGCUGAUGCUUUUAGCAUUUAUAAAGAUGUUAACCUUUGAAUUCACAUUCAGAUGUUUAUACCAUACCCAGAGGAGAAUGUCUACAUGCAAGAAGUUUGCUAAAGCUCUGUGAGGUUCCUUUAAAGACGUUUUAUUAAUUACUUAAAUAUUGUGCAUUUUUGAUCACUCUUUUUGUUUGUUUUAUAUCUGGGUGAUUAACAAGUUGUUAAAAAAAUUCAGGCCUGAUAAUCUAAUAAAAUUGCAUUUCCAUGGAA